AACAAACGCUGGCGGCAUGCCUAACACAUGCAAGUCGAACGAGACCUUCGGGUCUAGUGGCGCACGGGUGCGUAACGCGUGGGAACCUUCCCUUAGGUUCGGAAUAACUCCCCGAAAGGGGUGCUAAUACCGGAUAAUGUCUUCGGACCAAAGAUUUAUCGCCUUUGGAUGGGCCCGCGUUGGAUUAGCUUGUUGGUAGUGUAAAAGCCUACCAAGGCGACGAUCCAUAGCUGGUCUGAGAGGAUGAUCAGCCACACUGGGACUGAGACACGGCCCAGACUCCUACGGGAGGCAGCAGUGGGGAAUAGUGGACAAUGGGCGAAAGCCUGAUACAGCAAUGCCGCGUGAGUGAUGAAGGCCUUAGGGUUGUAAAGCUCUUUUACCCGGGAUGAUAAUGACAGUACCGGGAGAAUAAGCUCCGGCUAGCUCCGUG
rnacentral:rRNA from 1 species